UGUGUUUCUGUCCAAAAACAUUUGUGCAUAAACUAGUACUACAAAAUGAUAUAUUUAUUUAUUUUUGUUCGGUCUCAACUUAAAAAACUACUAUAACACUUAUAAUUGUUUUUUCAUUGUUUUUUUUUGGUUUUAUUUUAAUUGUUCUAAAAUGAAAAAUACAAAAAGCAUGUAACAACAAUCCUAUCCCUACUCCCCUAUCUUUUUAAAGACGUUGACUCAAAAUCCUCUCUGAAUGCUCUCGCUCAACUAUCUAGGACCUAGCAUCUGCAACCCCUUCUUGCCGGAAAGUACCUUCGUCUCACUGUCUCCAUUCCCAUAUCAUUCUCUAUUUCUUGUCCCAUUUUUCGUCUUUUAAUACCGGUGAAACCACCACCACCAUAAUGUUUCCUCAUCCAUGGUAUUGGUGCAACCAUGGUAAAUUAUGCGAUUUAAAAUUAUGGAUGUUACAAGUUGGUAUCAAAGCCAUGGUUUACGCUAAUUACGUUGGAUUAUCCUUCCUAGGUUUAAACAAUAAAAAUAACGGUGUGUGUUCCUUGAGAAAGUGGCGUGAUUAUUUUUAGAUUUGUGUGCCUGGUUUGGUAAGAGUUAUGAUUCGGAUAAUAUCUCCCUAUAUAGAUUAGGAGGUUAUGUUAAUUUUUUGUGGCAAUGAGAACUGAUUGGGAAUUUCUAUUACCAUGUGAGACAUAGGUAACUAGGAAUUACCGAAAAAGAAAGUCAUAUAGUUUGUCUCUAUGAUAAAGUUGGAAUUCUAAUAGCGAACUAGAACUUUGAAACUUAUGAAAGUCGUGUUAUUUAUGUAGUUAAACUGUAGGAGCGGUUCGCAAGGGUGAUGUUUUUUUAUCAAAGGAGUCUGGAAAAAGUCUUGGUGUUAUGGAAGAAAGUCGUAACGGUUUACAUUUACACCGAUUAAUUCACAAACUUGUUAGCAUUGUUCGACCAUGCAUGGUUUACAGAAUAAAGGAAGAUCUCGUGUUAUUUGAAAGGCAUACCCUCAGAAUAUUAUGUUGGUGAAAUGAUAGCAUGUAUUAUAUAAUGCGACGGUGGUAGUAUUAUCUAUAAGAGGCUUUUAAGAAGAUUAAAACAGGUGUGAAGAAGAGGACAAUGGUACAACUAGUGUUGUCAUAGGCACUUGGCAAAAAGUUUAACCGGAACAUGACAGUGUUGCUGACGUGUAUAAAAAGGCAUGAAGGUAAGAAAUGCAAAGAGUACACAGAAGAAAAAGUUAUGAAUAAGAGUGAAGUUAUAACUCCUAAUUCGAGGCAACGUGUGGAUCUGUAACGUAUUAAUAAAUCUAGGGAUGAUUUAUGUGUGUGUGAAAGGUGGUUAUUUCCUUUUGUGAAUCAGUUGAAAAGGUUGUAUUAAACCUUAUGAUGGUAAGGAGUCGUAAAAAAAGGAUCGAAGAGUCAUAUGGAUUCGUGAGAGUAUAACAAUCUCUUGUUGAGAGCUUAAGGCAAGUAUUGAAUUGAGUAAGGAACUUAAUGAUCAAGUGACUGUAGAAAUAUGAGAUAUGAAACUUCAAGGACGUGUGACUCCUUGAUGUGAGGGACUAGUUUAUAAUUACAUCUCGUUAAUGUACUAGUUAUAGACCUGAGGUGCAAGGAUAUGAAACUUUUAGAAGCUGACUAGGUGAUCAACGAAUAGAUAUAAUGGUACACUUCCAAAUUCUCAUAUAGAGAAGGUAAUAAGAAGAAUUAGGAAAUUGGUUUGGUAAAACUUGUGAAUCGGUAAAUAGAAUGGUAAAGUCAAAACCACAUGAUAAUCAUUUACAUGCAAUGUUAUGGUACGAAUAUCACUACACACAUAUCACUCGUUGUGAUUUGAAAAAAACAUGAUGUUGUUCGAAAUUGGAGUAUGAGAUGGGAAAUUCUAAUUGGGUAUGUUGGAAUACUAACGGUGUGUGAAUAAAGACCUUUAGGUAUCAUGUGUUAAGUAACAUUAGAACGUGUAAUGUGUAAUGUCUAGUGUACGAACAUUAUGCAAUUAUUAGACAAAGGAUGUAUUUGGAUGUGAUAGUUAUGGUUAGUUGUGGAGUGAUCAUGUUUGAUACUUCAUUAAAGAAGUUAAAAGGAAGCCUGGUAAGUGGUUGCCCGAUUACCGAUAAAAUUAGAGUACCUUAGUUGAAGCAUGAUGGGAAACGGAUAUGGUAAUGGGAUGCAUAAAAAAUUCCAAUGGUGAAUGUGAUUUGGGGCACAAAAAAAUCUGCUAGAAUUUGGUCCAAUGUUCUUAGUUUAGUUAACACUAGUAUGAAUUCAACUUCUUCAACUGGUAGUGUGAAAAUUGGAAUUCUGAAAGGUGUUUGUGUCAAGUGGAACAAAAGGUCUAGGCAUAGUCCAUCACGUUUUCACCCAUAACCAUGAUUGAAAAUUUUGAAAUAUGUUUGUGAGGUAGAUUGAAGCAGUUGAUGAGACAAGGUUGGAUGAUGUUAUAAGUACUACCACAAUUGACUAAAACGGCAACGGUUUAGUUUUUAGGGAGAGGAAAACCCAAAAAACAUUGUUGUGGAAAAUGUAAGGAAUUGAUAUUUGGCCUAGUUGAGGUUCUUAGUAGUCGGUAUAGGUUCAAGGAGAUGGUCUUCGUCGAAGUGAUCUGCAUUGUAAACGACGAGCAUGAACUGUGGGAGGUUACACUUGUCACACAAUGUUUUUUUUUUACUGAUUCAGGGGAUAAGAAGGAGAAUCGACGAGGAUGUUUUGGUGUGAGAAUCGACGAUGAUGUUUUGGUGUGGGUAAGACGGUCAGCAUGGGUUGGGAAGUGGUAGUUGUUGGUGGUGAUGGUGUGAUAGUGGUUGUUGGUAAAUUCUUGGGAUAUGUUAUAGUAGAUGAAGAACAUGAGUUUGGAAAGUGUGGUUUUGCAAAUCGGAGUUUAUCUUCCAAGAGUUUGACUAACCCAUAUGCUUGAUGAAGGGAAGUGGGGUGAUGAAGUGUGACAUCCCCAAAAUCUCGGCCAGAAAAGACCAGUUUCAUUUAUGUUUUUUAAACAUUUUCAGAGUAAAUCCUUUUGAUUUUAAAAGAGAUGCGGAAUUUGUUCCCAAACACAAAGUAUGAUAAAAUAAUAUUUACCAAAGCAUUUCAUAAAGAAAUGUAUUUUCAUUAUAUAGUCAAAACUCGGGAUGUCCUGUUCGGAUACAAACCAUAAAGCAUAAACGAUAACAUUACAAGUCAUUCAACAAAUAUAUACAUAUACAGACUUGUAAACAAAACAACUUGAUGAUUAUCCAUCUUAUGCCCUCGCAUCACUUCCUGUAAUACAAAGAAACUGAGUGGGUCAGGCUUGGGAGCCUGGUAAGCAUAUAGGGUUUUCAACCCACAAUAAAUAAUUAAAUUAAUAUUCAUCAACCAACAAUAACCCAAUUACCCAAUCCCGUUAUUCUCACUUUAUGUCCCUAAAAUAACUAACACAAGGAACCUAGUCUAAGAAUAUUUCAUCGGGGCGACAACAUAUGCUUUCGGGGGUUUCCCGGCAAUAUAUGUCAAAUAAGGCAACCAUAGGGGGGGGAGGGGAGGGGAUGGAGUACAACGAAUGAACACCCAAGUUCAUUAACACCUACAGGUGGCGAGCCUGCUAGUGUUCCAAAAGACUGUCUAGAAAAGUCUGUGGUCGUCAUCUAAACUCCGCUAGAUGACUGAAUCAAAACAACAUCAAGGCCUCUCAUCUGUUUAUUACACAUCAACUAUCUACCCAUGUUCUACCCAACAUAUUAGUAGAUAAAAUAUACAUUUUUAUACAUAGUUUAAAACCUGUAUAGCAUGCUUUAAUCAAUACAUAUUCCACAUAACAGAUGAGGCACACACACAUAACACGUAUUUCAUAGAGAAUAAAUCAGAUCUAUGAGAUAGAAGAGAGUGAAUAUACAUUCACACAUAUAACAACAAAAUAUAUACACAUAGCACGUAUUUUAUAUAAAAUACUUCAUAAUAAUGUGUUGGAAGAAAGUAACUACACACUCACUUGAUCAAAAGAUGAUCGGACAGCACUACGGCUUGCAGAAGUAGUGUUUCUCCGUAGANGCAGAGCUUCGGCUCGGGAAUCGCACUUCUCAGGAUCUCGGGAGCGUAAAACUUCCUUCUUAACUUGGAUAUGAGAUCCGGGGUGUCGGGAUGGCUUCGGGGGUUUACACGCAGAGCUUCGGCACGAAAAAGAGAAGAAAUGAGCAAGAAUGCCCGGAACCCUCGCAUCCCAUUUAUAGGAGGCUGAGGCCUCGCAGUACGUUGGGCGUACGAGGUUAUGCGGGCCGUACUGCCUCGGUCGUCAUGGCUUACGUAUCCUAAAUCACUCGAGUGCGAGGCGCGUCAUGAUUUGCUGUACGCGGGGCGUACCGCCUUACGCUUGGCGUAAUCCGGAUAAGUCCGGUGACUCCUCUUCGGAUAAUAUCGGAUAUAAUAAAUAAAUUUAAAUAUUAAUUAUUUAAUAAACUUUGAAAAUUCAUAUCUUCGUCGUACGAACUUUGUUUUCGACGUUCUUCAUAUCCACACGUAGGUGAGACUACGCUCUACAACUUUUGUUUAGACUCUGUCGGCUAAUUUUGACUUUAUUUUUUAUUAUUUAUUUUUAGUAGGCCCAGACAGGAAAACUUCGUUAUAAAUUCAUAACUUCUUCGUCCGACGUCCGUUCUCGCCUAACUUUUCAUUGUUUCGCUAUUAACAACGAGAUCUUCGAUUCUCAUUUAGAUUGUUUCGGCUAAAAACCGCUCGAUCUCAAAUCGAGUAUUCGGGCUGCAUACCGCUAAGUCGAAACUUCAGAAAAUCAUAACUUCCUCAUACGAAGUCAGAUUUGGGCGUUCAAUAUAUAUUCGGAAACCUCGUUUCGGACACUACAACUUUAUGCAAAGAUAUUGAGCUUAUCUCAUACUUUAAUUUUUGACGCUUAUUAUAUUCUUAAUUAAUCAAAUCACAUAAUUAAGCAAUUAAGCACGAAACACAUAAUACACAAAUAAUACGCUUUUAUUAUUUCAAAACAGGUUACAAAGGUUAACCUAGACUAUUAGAUCAACGAAAAUGCCUAGCCUGGAAACGCGGGCGUUACAUGAAGUGCUAACUCGUUCUGAAUGUUAGCAAUAUGGAAUUCAACGCAGAGAGUUGAGAGGAAGCAAUUUAGAAGGGAAUUGGUAUCGUGACCUGAGAGGAUGAAAUUGCUAACUUUUUCGAACUCUAAUUGAUAGGCCGAAACAAUGGUCAGUUGUUGAAGUUUGAAGUGGACGACUUGGUAGUUCUCUUAAGUGGAAGAUCCGAGAGGAGUUCUAAGGCUCGAGAGAACGUCGUCCACGUGCACAACAGGUGGUUGUUUGCUAGAUGCUUGUACCGACUCAAGGCAUCUACGACGAAGUAAAAGAUAGCAAUGGUAACUCAUUGAGCUUGUGCGAUGGUAUAGUAAUCAAAGUAGGUUACCAUAGAAGUUGGAUAGGGAAAUUUUGGUGGUCGGAGGUGGUUCGGUGGUGGUGGUGGUGGUUUUCUUUUUUUUUUUUUUUUUUUUUGUUGUUGUAAGGAUGUUGACAAGUUGAUCCAACUUUGUGGUGGUAGUGAUGGAGAGACGGAUAAGGGUUACCAUUUGUUCUUGGAGGGUUGAGUUAGGGUUGUCAGAGGAGGAGCACGAUUAGCUUUCGGGAGGCAUUGAAAUGAGAAUGGAAGCACCAAUUGAUAGCAAGCCAAUUUGAGAUGGUGAAUCUCCCAAGAGAAAGUAAGAACAAGAAACUUGGGGCAGUUUUCUUCUUACUUUAACCAAAUGUAGGGUACAAUUUACAGAAAUGUGAAAGAUAUCGUUCUAGCUAAAUUAAGGAAAUAUACAUGCAGGAACAAUCGUUAGCUCGUAACUUAAUGCAAUUAGCUUUUACCUGAAAAGUGGAAGUAGGCCAAGUCUUCAAGUGUUUGUUAAUGUGGAGUUCCAUACUUGUGCUUCAAUCCUUGUAAUGGGCCUUUCAAACUUAUUUUUUGAUGGACUUCAGUUUGAGUUUGCUGACUCUUUUCUAGUGUAUGAGCCGUAUCACUUCCCCAUGGUUGAGUUGACAAUACCCUUGUAGCGCCCAAUACCCCUAUUGUUGCCAUGUAAAUAACAACAAAAAAAAAAAAAAAAAAAACUGAUGAGAGCUUCCUGUUACGCCCAUUAUCACCAUCUAAUUUUCAUACAUCGCUACAAAAAAUAUGGAUGAAUUUAAAUGUAUUAGAAGAAAUUCUUCUUCGCCAAACAAAAGCUCAUUAUGUGUGAUUGUAGAGUCAUAAUUGCUCUUUUUCCAUAACUAGUUCAUAUGGCUAACUUCAAAACAAAGAAAAAUAUAGUUUCAUUAUAUACAUGUUACGCCCCGGGAUCUAGAUCUCGUGACAGGACCUGUACUUGUACUUCCUACAUCCGUGAGUAUUACUAACACCUAAUCUCUAUUGAGAGGAGACUAGGUUAAACUAUUCUAAGAGAUUAAAAGCAGUUGACUUCAAGCAUAAUUUUAUUUCAUGAAUAACUACCCUUUAAAUAGGGAUAAACAAAAGACUCUAAUAAAGAAACAAAGAUCACCCAAAUCGACUCAAAUACUAAAUGAUCCUAAUUACCAAAUGUAAAAACUGAAACAAGAUAAUUCCAUAAAAUAAGAUAUUUUCCAGAAAUUAAAAAUACUUAUUAUCCAUAUGAUUCAUAACAUUACUCCCCUCCUCCGCAUUGAGCUUGUCCUCAAGCUCAAUAGUCACCCAUUAGCGUCAUCUUCCUCAUUGUUCAUGAUGAUGCAAAAGAGCUUGGCACAUUUAUGCCCAAUAGAGAAUAUUUCAUCACAGUUGAAGCACAAGCCUUUUGCCCGCCUCUCUGCCAUUUCUACAGACGUUAGUUUUUUCCAGGCCGGAUUUAGUGUUUCAGCUUUGUAUGUUCCAGCUGCUCCUUUUCCUGUCGACUCUCAUUUUUGGCUUGCAAUCGAGGUUUGGUUUCCUGUAGGCCUGACACCUAUUGGUUCUCCUGCUUCUGCCACCCUUAGCUCAAUUUGUCUGGCUAGAUUCAUGGCAUAAUAUAGAGUUAUGGGUCUCGCAAAUUCAACCUCAUGUCUUAUCACGUUCAUUAGCCCCGCACAAAAGUGCCAAAUGCUUUGCUCCGGUGUGACCCCCGUCGUCCUACCCAACAUCAAUUUGAAUCUUUCACAGUAGUCUUCUACUGUCCCAACUUGUCGAAGCCGAGUUAACUCCCCAAAGGGAUUCAAGCUCAUAGGCGGGCCGAAACGGAUUUUGCAUUCAUCUGAAAACUCGACCCAAUUCAAACAAUUUUUCAUCCUUCUCAAGUUUCGGUACCACCCGCUUGCCCGACUCUGUAAGGCGAAAGUUGCUUGGCGAACCCAAGCCUCCGGCGGUGUUUGUUGUUCUUCGAAGAAGUCCUCACACUUCUGUAACCAUUCAAGUGGGUCACCCUUGCCGUCAUACACCGGAAACUCCAUCUUGGCGAAUCUAGGCACCCGAUUUCCAGGUACCCGAUCGCCACGGUAACCUCCUUCAUCAAAUUCAUCCCAACUUUUAUGCACCUGUUCUUGUUCAAUAUGCCGAUUGUGUCCCGAUCCUUCGACUUUCUGGAUAUCCCAGCGGUGUUUGAAUGAUUGUGGGUCUGCAUUGCGCCAAGAAUCAGACCCCUUCCCUACUCCCCGUCCUGUUCCCAAGGGGUUUGAUCCAAACGACCCCCUGCCUCGACCUAACACCGUGAAGGCACUCGUCAUCUUGCCUCCUGGUGCGUUGCUGGUGACGAUGCCCUUGCCCCUUCCUCGACCUAGCUCGCUGCUAUAUUCAAAUUGCUGGUCCAUCUCUUCUUCUUCCUCGCCUGCUUCAGACCCUUGUUUGUUGACCUUGUUUUGGGAUUGUGAUAAACUCUCUUCCAGAGCCGCAUGCUUGGCCUGCAAGGCUUCGACUGCCCCCUUCAGUACAAGGGUACUCUGAGUUUGCUGGACCAUGAAUGCUUCUAGCUUCUUCAUCAAUUCUUCCUGUUGAGUAGACACCACGAGCGGCUCUGAUACCAAAUUUGUUACGCCCCGGGAUCUAGAUCUCGUGACAGGACCUGUACUUGUACUUCCUACAGCCGUGAGUAUUACUAACACCUAAUCUCCUAUUGAGAGGAGACUAGGUUAAACUAUUCUAAGAGAUUAAAAGCAAUUGACUUCAAGCAUAAUUUUAUUUCAUGAACAACUACCCUUUAAAUAGGGAUAAACAAAAGACUCUAAUAAGGAAACAAAGAUCACCCAAAUCGACUCAAAUACUAAAUGAUCCUAAUUACCAAAUGUAAAAACUGAAACAAGAUAAUUCCCUAAAAUAAGAUAUUUUCCAGAAAUUAAAAAUACUUAUUAUCCAUAUGAUUCAUAACAAUACAAUUCCAUACAACUUAUUUUUAACUAUAUUUAAGUGUAGCAAAAUUUAUCAUUAUUUACCAGAUAAUCAAUUAUCUAGUAUUGUGAAAGAACACCUACAAACUUAAUUCUUAUUUGGUGUAAUGGUUGACCAAAGAAAACAUGGGUUUUGAUGUCCUGAUCAUCUGAAGCCUCGUUUGAACAAUGUAAAGUGCGACUUAUGUUGUGUUGAUGCAGCUGGACUAUGAAGAUGUUUCCUAUUAUUUAAUUUUCUUACAUAUAUAAGAAGAAAUACGGCGAGUCAAAAUAUGUACAGUCCGUUAUGUCUACAAGAUUGUAGAGCGAUCAACCAUGCAAUGAAGAAAACAAAAACGAAAUUCAAGGGGGACAUAUUAGCAAACAGCCAAACUGAAAAUAUCCCAUUAGAAGUGUUUGAGAGUACAUGAUCAAGACACCUAGUGCACAAGGGUGCUUAUUGUAAUUAUAUUUAGGAAACAAGAUACGAUCUUAAAACAUAAAGCAAUAAUACGAGUUGAACAUCAAAACAAGAUAACACAACAAUUUCACAAACACAUCUCUCAGGCUUCUUUAUUUUGACAAGGUUAUGUAUGCAGGCUGCAAAUACAUGAUAUUUGUCCGCGUUACUAAUAGGGAUGAAGAAUGACACUGAAAGAGUCGAGGUAAUCCCCGUAGUUUCCGCUGAAUCCACCAAAGCUACCCUUAGCGACUGGCAGCGAGAAACUAGUCCCCUGGGUUGUGCCAUAUGGCCCAUACUUCUUUUUGUUGGUUAGGAAAGACAAUGACGUAAUCACAGUGUAGCCGGCAUAUACUCCCACAGUUCCGCUAAUCCCGAUGAGGUUCUCAUCAUCAGCAAAUGUAAACUGAAGAUAUACCCAAAUAGAUGAUAAAUGAUGUAUGAUAAAACUAGAAUAUAAGUGCAGUACAUGUUUAGGUAACAGAUGUAAUGAAAGCCCACUAUACCGUAUGAGGUGAACCACCAUCACCACCAUAUGUUUCAGAAUGGUGUUUGACAUUAUCACGAUCCUUGUAAGUGAACCUGAUUGAAUCUACACACCCUGAGGCACUGAUACGGAUCUCGCAAAUCCUGCCCUCAGGGAUGAAUGUCCAGGGAUUAACUCCACCCUUACCUCCCCACGGUCCAACCUGUACGCCAUUGCCUGCCUGCAUAUAGGGGUGAAAUAAAAUAUAUAACUAAGAAGUGGACAUAUCUUAGCAAUCAACAGAUGAAAUACACCAGGUUAACCAUAAACCCAGCAUUUCCAAAUAUAUAUGGUGAAAGAGUAUACCAUGUUUGAUCUGAAUGUAUUCUCAAAGGAAAAGAUGAAACUCGUGGAAAGUAAUAAGUUAUACAUUUAGCCCCAUUAAGAGAAGGACUAUUUAUAGACCUGAUCAGGUAGGGUUUUUAAAGUAUAAUGGAUUCAGAUAAGAUGUCCGGUCUUCCUGUAAUGAAAACAUAAAAGUUUAUAUUGAUUUACUAUGAUUGGGUAAAUGUAAUUCUUUAGUAAAAGAUGUCGGUAGAAUAUGUUAGGGUGUAGUAACUUAAGGAUGAAUAGUAGUUUCACAUGUGUCAAUGUACGGUAUCAAUUUUUAGAGCACAUGCUUGUUAGGUAGUAAUUCAAUAAGAUGACAAUAGAUGCUUCUGUCAUCAGUUUUCAAAGGCUUCCAUCACAGACAUUUAUUCUAACAACCAAGCUUUUGAACACAAGUUUGGAGGUUUUUGAGCACAUGUGGGUGAUCUUUCUAUUUCAAUUUUGUACCAAUCGUUUUUUCUGCAUUUCUAGUUUGAGCAGCAAAUUGUGUCCCUCUUCUUGUACUUUGAAAUCUACAAGUAACUUGUUCUGAAACCCACCCAUUUAAUUAUCAUAUCUUGUCGUGUCAACAAGUGUAUUUUUGUGUUGUGUUCAUGUCGGAUUUGCAGUUUAGGGUUUAGACGUUUAAAUAUGUCGAUAGAUUGAAGGAGUAGGAGUUAGAGACGUUGAAAAGUAAAUGUGAAAAAUAGGAAGACUAGUAGUUUGGGGGUAUUGGAAUGAAUAUCACGAUAAGUUUAGAGGAGGAAAGUCACAUUGAAAUGGAAAUGGGUGAGUAAGAUUGUGGAGUAUAACAUGUUAAUGAAAAAGUGAAAAACUAAAAGUAAGUUUCAGCGGGACGGCUAAUUAGUAUAUGAUGUUAAUUAAAAAGUGAAAAACUAAAAGCAGGGGCGGAACACGAGAAGUUAAAUUAGGGGGGCCAAAAUCAAAUUUAAAAAAAAAAACAUAUUAAUAAGUUUAAUUUGAUUAAAGGAUAUGAGAUAUAGAAAUUUUUAAAUAAAACAACUAGUAUGAAAUAUAUUUAUGUCGCUCAUAAAAAUGGAACCUUUUCGAAUAGUGAUCUUGAUUCGGCUUACAAGUCUACUGUUCCUCAAUUUAAAUAAAAUAAAAUAAAAUGCUUUAUAAUAUUAUUAUUGAGGAGGUCUAUAAUCUCAACUCUAAACCAAAACAAAAUUUUGAUCAUCAUUUAUCUUGGUGGAAUAACCUUACCUUAGCUAAGCAGCUUAUUUUUUUUCCAAAAUCUCACUAAAUGAGAAUUUUGUACACGCUUUCAAGUAUACGUUUGGUAUUAACCAAGUGCUUUCUCUAUGUAUUACUAUUUUUUAUUUUUAUAUAUAUUACUAUAUUGAGAUUGAGAUGUUUAAUUAAACAUAAAAGAAUAACCAAAAUAUUUAUAAAACGUGGAAAUAAAUGCAAAUAAAAGAACUGAAAUUAUAGUCUUAAAAAAGGAGAAUGCACUCGGUAGGCCCACAUUGGUUUAAUGAAAUAAAUAAAUAAUACUCAACUUUGAAAUAUCUCAUCCAAUUCAAGUUUGCUAACGAGUUGCAAAUAGACUAAUAGGUUGGAACUUAGAACCCAAAAAAGCAAGGGGGCCAUGGCCCCCCUUGGCUAUAACUAAGUUCCGCCACUGACUAAAAGUAAAUAUUGACUGGAACGGUUAAUUAGUAGCUUCCAAAUUAUAAAACGAUUCAACCAAAGUUUUCUUUUACCACUAGUUUUUAUUCUAGGCAUGCUGAGUUUACCUAAAAGAUGAAUAGAAGUUGUCUAUAUAUAAACGUCUCAUUUUUGUGUUAGAAAGUUUAGACUUUAACAUUACCCGUUUAAUAUUCGUGACAUAUCUACUCGUUCAAUAAAAUAGGUGGAAAUCUUUUACCCAUACUCGUCUAUUUGCAUGUCGUGUCGAUAAUUUCCACCCUUCAGUUUUUUAUGGAUUUCAGUUAGAGAAAAUGGUUCUAGUCUCUCUUUAGGGUGAGUAAUCCAAUUACUACCGCAACGAUAUGGUAGUUUAAAAUAUUAAUCUAAUUACUCAAUCGUUGUAGUUCAACCCACUUUUUAUUUAGCGGAAUUUGCAAGAAUGGUCAUGUGGUUUAUAAUUUUUUGUGUUUCGGUCAAAAAAACGUUUGUGCAUAAACUAGUACUACAAAAUGAUAUAUUUAUUUAUUUUUGUUCGGUCUCAACUUAAAAAACUACUAUAACACUUAUAAUUGUUUUUUCAUUGGUUUUUUUGGUUUUAUUUUAAUUUUUCUAAAAUGAAAAAUACAAAAAGCAUGUAACAACAAUCCCAUCCUUACUCCCCUCUCUUUAAAGACGUUGACUCAAAAUCUUCUCCGAAUGCUCUCGCUCAACUAUCUAGGACCUAGCAUCUACAACCCCUUCUCGCCGGAAAGUACCUUCGUCUCACUGCCUCCAUUCCCCUAUCAUUCUCUAUUUCUUGUCCCAUUUUUCGUCUUUUGAUAACGGUGAAACCACCACCACCAUAAUGUUUCCUAAUCCAUGGUAUUGGUGCAACCAUGGUAAAUUAUGCGAUUUAAAAUUAUGGGUGUUACAAGUUGGUAUCAAAGCCAUGGUUUACGCUAAUUACGUUGGAUUAUCCUUCCUAGGUUUAAACAAUAAAAAUAACGGUGUGUGUUCCUUGUGAAAGUGGUGUGAUUAUUUUUAGAUUUGCGUGCCUGGUUUGGUAAGAGUUAUGAUUCGGAUAAUAUCUCCCUAUAUAGAUUAGGAGGUUAUGUUAAUUUUUUGUGGCAAUGAGAACUGAUUGGGAAUUUCUAUUACCAUGUGAGACAUAGGUAACUAGGAAUUACCGAAAAAGAAAGCCAUAUAGUUUGUCUCUAUGAUAAAGUUGGAAUUCUAAUAGAGAACUAGAACUUUGAAAGUUAUGAGAGUCCUGUUAUUUAUGUAGUAAAACUGUAGGAGCGGUUCGCAAGGGUGAUGUUUUUUAUCAAAGGAGUCUGGAAAAAGUCUUGGUGUCAUGGAAGAAAGUCGUAACGGUUUACAUUUAUACCGAUUAACUCACAAACUUGUUAGCAUUGUUCGUCAAUGCGUGGUUUACAGAAGAAAGGAAGAUCUAAUGUAAUUUGAAAGGCAUACCCUCAGAAUAUUAGAAUAUUAUGCAGGUGAAAUGAUAGUGUGUAUUAUAUAAUGCGACGGUGGUAGUAUUAUUUAUGAGAGGCUUUUAAGAAGAUUAAAACGGGUGUGAAGAAGAGGACAAUGGUACAACUAGUGUUGUCAUAGACACUUGGCGAAAAGUUUAACCGGAACAUGACUGUGUUGCUGACGUGGAUAGAAAGGCAUGAAGGUAAGAAAUGCAAAGAGUACACAGAAGAAAAAGUUAUGAAGAAGAGAGAACUUAUAACUCCUAAUUUGAGGCAACGUGUGGAUCUGUAACGUAUUAAUAAAUCUAGGGAUGAUUUAUGUGUGUGUGAAAGGUUGUUAUUUCCUUUUGUGAAUCAGUUGAAAAGGUUGUAUUAAACCUUAUGAUGGUAAGGAGUCAUAAAAAAGGGAUCAAAGAGUCAUAUGGAUUCGUGAGAGUAUAACAAUCUCUUGUUAAGAGCUUAAGGCAAGUAUUGAAUUGAGUAAGGAACUUAAUGAUCAAGUGACUGAUGAAAUAUGAGAUAUGAAACUUCAAGGACGUGUGACUCCUUGAUGUGAGGGACUAGUGUAUAAUUACAUCUCGUUAAUGUACUAGUUAUAGACCUGAGGUGCAAGGAUAUGAAACUUUUAGAAGCUGACUAGGUGAUCAACGAAUAGAUAUAAUGGUACACUUCCAAAUUCUCAUAUAGAGAAGGUAAUAAGAAGAAUAACGAAAUUGGUUUGGUAAAACUUGUGAAUCGGGAAAUAGAAUGGUAAAGUCAGAACUACAUGAUAAUCAUUUGCAUGCAAUGUUAUGGCUCGCAUAUCACUACACACACAUAUCACUCGUUGUGAUUUGAAAAAAACAUGAUGUUGUUCGAAAUUGGAGUAUGAGAUGGGAAAUUCUAGUUGGGUAUGUUGGAAUACUAACGGUGUGUGAAUAAAGACAUUUAGGUAUCAUGUGUUAAGUAACAUUAGAACGUGUAAUGUGUAAUGUCUAGUGUACGAACAUUAUGCAAUUAUUAGACAAAUGAUGUAUUUGGAUGUGAUAGUUAUGGUUAGUUGUGGAGUGAUCAUGUUUGAUACUUCAUUAAAGAAGUUAGAAGGAAGCCUGGUAAGUGGUUGCCCAAUUACCGAUAAAAUUAGAAUACCUUAGUUGAAGCAUGAUGGGAAAGGGAUAUGGUAAUGGGAUGCGUAAAAGAUUCCAAUGGUGAAUUUGAUUUGGGGCACAAGAAAAUCUGCUACAAUUUGGUCCAGUGUUCUUAGUUUAGUUAACACGAGUAUGAAUUCAACUUCUUCAGCCGGUUGUGUGAAAAUUAGAAUUCUUAAAGGUGUUUGUGUCAAGUGGCACAAAAGGUCUGGGCAUACUCCAUCAUGUUUUCACCCAUAACCAUGACUGAAAAUUUCGAAAUAUGUUUGUGAGGUUGAUUGAAGCAAUUGAUGAGACAAGGUUGGAUGAUGUUAUAAGUACUACCACAAUUGACUAAAACGGUAACGGUUUAGUUUUUAGAGAGAGGAAAACCCAAAAAAACGUUGUGGUGGAAAAUGUAAGGAAUUGAUUUUUGGCGUAGUUGAGGUUCUCGGUAGUCGGUAUGGGUUCAAGGAGAUGGUCUUCGUCGAAGUGAUCUGCAUUGUCAACGACGAGCAUGAACUGUGGGAGGUUACACUUGUCGCACAAUGUUUUUUUUUACUGAUUCAGGGGAUAAGAAGGAGAAUCGACGAGGAUGUUUUGGUGUGGGUAAGACGGUCAGCAUGGGUUAGGAAGUGGUAGUUGUUGGUGAUGAUGGUGUGAUACUGGUUGCUGGUAAAUUCUUGGGAUAUGUUAUAGUAGAUGAAGAACAUGAGUUUAGAAAGUGUGGUUUUGCAAAUCCGAGUUUAUCUUCCAAGAGUUUGACUAACCCAUAUGCUUGAUGAAGGGAAGUGGGGUGAUGAAGUGCUAACUCGUUCUGAAUGUUAGGAAUAUAGAAUUCAACACAGAGAGUUGAGAGGAAGCAAUUUAGAAGGGAAUUGGUAUCGUGACCUGAGAGGAUGCAAUUGCUGACUUUUUCGAACUCUAAUUGAUAGGCCGAAACAAUGGUCAGUUGCCGAAGUUUGAAGUGGACGACUUGGUAGUUCUCUUAUGUGGAAGAUCCGAGCGGAGUUCCAAGGCUCGGGAGAACUCCGUCCACGUGCACAAUAGGUGGAUGUUUGCUAGAUGCUUGUACCGACUCUAGGCAUCUACGGCGAAGUAAAAGAUAACAAUGGUAACUCGUUGAGCUUGUGCGAUGGUAUAGUAAUCAAAGUAGGUUACCAUAGAAGUUGGAUAGGGAAAUUUUGGUGGUCGGAGGUGGUUCGGUGGUGGUGGUGGUGGUGAUUUUUGUUGUUGUUGUUGUAAGGAUGUUGACAAGUUGAUCCAACUUGGUGGCGGUAGUGAUGGAGAGACGGAUAAGGGUUACCAUUUGGUCUUGGAGGGUUGAGUUAGGGUUGUUAGAGGAGGAGCACGAUUAGCUUUCAGGAGGCAUUG
rnacentral:lncRNA from 1 species